GACGAACGCUGGCGGCGUGCUUAACACAUGCAAGUCGAACGGAAAGGCCCUGCUUUUGUGGGGUGCUCGAGUGGCGAACGGGUGAGUAACACGUGAGUAACCUGCCCUUGACUUUGGGAUAACUUCAGGAAACUGGGGCUAAUACCGGAUAGGAGCUCCUGCUGCAUGGUGGGGGUUGGAAAGUUUCGGCGGUUGGGGAUGGACUCGCGGCUUAUCAGCUUGUUGGUGGGGUAGUGGCUUACCAAGGCUUUGACGGGUAGCCGGCCUGGGAGGGUGACCGGCCAAAUUGGGACUGAGAUACGGACCAGACUCCAACGGGAGGCAGCAGUGGGGAAUAUUGCACAAUGGGCGGAAGCCUGAUGCAGCAACGCCGCGUGCGGGAUGACGGGCUUCGGGUUGUAAACCGCUUUCGCCUGUGACGAAGCGUGAGUGACGGUAAUGGGUAAAGAAGCACCGGCUAACUACGUG
rnacentral:rRNA from 1 species